AAUUUUAUAAUUAAUUAGUCAAAAACUACAUUUAUCAAAUUUACAAACACAUGUGAUUUAAACUCCACUACUUCUAUUAAACUGCUUUAUAAUGAAAUCUUUAGCCAGAUUGAGAUGGUCAUUCUCUAUCGGAUGACCUUUGACCUGUUCUACAGUAUCAUGAUGAUAUCAAAUCUGCAGCACAGGUAUUAAAUGCUCUCAGCAUCAAAGUCUGAAUGAAACUGAUCAUUAAAACAGUGUUUAGAGGGAGAAGAUCCACCCAAAAUAACAUGAAGUAAAUCAGGAGUGUCUGUUUCUGAAAAUGAUCAAUAGAAAUUUAUUAGCAAAGAUACUAAAUGACAAAACAGUGUUUCUGCUGUCUUCAGGUAAAUGAUCUGGAGUGUGUUUGCAUAUUGAUCAGAUGCUUCAGUGCUCUGAGAGUGUUUAUAGUGCUGUGAGUUUAACACUUCAUCACUGACACACACAACAAUCUUCAUCAACAUGACCUUCAUCAUCAUCUGGACGCUCUUAUACUGCUUUAUACUACAAGGCUGUAGAGCUCAGAUCACAGUGACUCCUGCAGUGAAAACUGCAACACCAGGAGAAAAUGUUGUGAUAAGCUGUAAACUCAGUAGAAGUGCUGCUGGCUGCAGCUCAGCAUACUGUGUGUCCUGGUACUUACAGAAACCUGGAGAAGCUCCUAAACUACUGAUUUAUUAUACAAACACCCUCCAGUCAGGAACUCCAUCUAGAUUCAGUGGCAGUGGAUCUAACAGUGAUUUCACUCUGACCAUCAGUGGAGUCCAGACUGAAGAUGCUGGACGUUAUCACUGUCAGAGUUAUCACAGUGGUUAUGUGUUCACACAGUGAUAAAGAGUCGUACAAAAACCUCCGAGUCACAGUCAGGGCCGGAUUAACAUGAGGGCUAGGUGGGGCUGAAGCCCCAGGGCCCGCGGGUAGAGGGGGCCCGUGAUUGGCUGGAGGAAAUGAGAUUGACAAGUCAAAGGUGGUUGAUUUGUGUCUAAUAAAAUAACAAGAAAAAAUUAUUGGAAAAUGUGCCUGACUGAUAAAUCACCGUCCAAUCAAAAUCACCUUACAAUUCGCGCUAUGACAUCGGGAAACGCCUCUUUGCUUAUUGCUUGUUCAGCCUCGCUGGUGUUCAAAAUGAUAAAAAAAAAGUGAUAGUGGUGCGCAAAAAAGGAAAAAUAAGCUUGAAAGGGAUAAAAGGGAUGCUAAUCUUACAGCAAAAAUUCCAAAACUAACUAACUACUUCAGUUCACAUAAAACAUCCGAGCCAGUGGAAGACCCCGCGUGCAGCGGCAGCUCACAAUUAUCUUCACCCACCUACACCGUCGCCGAUCUGCGUGCUUUACACGUUGAAGAAGGUGAGAUAGCAACUGCAGCA